rnacentral:lncRNA from 1 species
UCACUGAAACCUGGCUGCAGCAGGAUGAAUAUGUUAGUUUAAAUGAGUCGACUCCAAUGAGUCACAUCAACUAUCAUGUUCCUAGAAGUACAGGUAGAGGUGGAGGAGUAGGAGCAAUUUAUAACAGAUUCAUUAAUUCCUAAACUCCUAAACCUAAACAUAGUUAUAACUCAUUUGAGAGCCUCACGCUGAGCCUUUCCCACCCAGACUCUAAAACCCAGAAGCCAGUUGUGUUUUGUAUUAUUUACCACCCUCCUGCUCCAUAUUCAGAGUACUUAACUGAAUUCUUUAAAGGGCUCAUAUCAUGCAAAAUCCACUUUUUAGACAUUUUGGAGCGUCCCUAUGACUCUAUGGGUCACAUAUACACACCCGAGCACGGUAGAAAUGCAUUUCCUGCUUUUUUCACAUUUUGAAAACGUAAAUUUUCUCAUCCAAUGAAAACAGCCACGACCUACUCUGAGGCCGUUCCCCAGGUUUCGUCAUACUGGUUGAAAGUUCUCCCUGCAAAUCCUGAACCACCACCCCCACAAUGAUCCCGAACCAAAACUGGACUUCCGCCAUUUCCCCCCUCUCACUCACCGUGAACAGACAAGCACGGCAGCGCCCAAGUCCUCCCAUAGAAAUAGUUCAGUUCUUAGGUGUUCUAACCAACACCAAAGUCUCUUCACUUUACCAAGGGAUCAACAAGUGAGGAUUUGUGGGUCACUUUUAUUUUUAACGGACCGGUGCCAGAAACACUGCCUCAGCAUUUAUACGUAUGUGCAUUUCAAACGAGGGUGCGUACAAUGCUGGAUUUGUUUCACGGCUCCUGUUGGAAAAAAGGAUCUAUUCCUAAAGUCCGUCAUCCACUCACUGAAUACCUUUUGUUUUGAUGAGGUGAUGGCGAGGACAGCCACAGCUUCCAUCUGGUAGAGGACUGCUUCCGCUCAGUCUUCCAAAUAGUGAUGAGAACAAGGAUCACCACAUCUCCCUGUUUACCCUACUUUCAUGCAUUUCGUCUGCAAGGCCCUGCAAAAGCUUCUGACCUCAAACCCCCAGACCUCUUAAUUAACUCAGUAACCUAUACAUUGCACAUUGGAGUGUGAAGGUAACAGUUUGUUCUAGCUUUGGAGUAGUGGUGUAUUUUUUUGGUUUACAAUAAAGUUGGCUUUAACUAUUAUGUAUUUCA